rnacentral:rRNA from 1 species
AGAGUUUGAUCCUGGCUCAGGACGAACGCUGGCGGCGUGCUUAACACAUGCAAGUCGAACGGAAAGGCCCUUCGGGGUACUCGAGUGGCGAACGGGUGAGUAACACGUGGGUGAUCUGCCCUGCACUUUGGGAUAAGCCUGGGAAACUGGGUCUAAUACCGAAUAGGACCGCGCUCUUCAUGGGGUGUGGUGGAAAGCUUUUGCGGUGUGGGAUGGGCCCGCGGCCUAUCAGCUUGUUGGUGGGGUAAUGGCCUACCAAGGCGACGACGGGUAGCCGGCCUGAGAGGGUGACCGGCCACACUGGGACUGAGAUACGGCCCAGACUCCUACGGGAGGCAGCAGUGGGGAAUAUUGCACAAUGGGCGCAAGCCUGAUGCAGCGACGCCGCGUGAGGGAUGACGGCCUUCGGGUUGUAAACCUCUUUCAAUAGGGACGAAGCGCAAGUGACGGUACCUAUAGAAGAAGGACCGGCCAACUACGUGCCAGCAGCCGCGGUAAUACGUAGGGUCCGAGCGUUGUCCGGAAUUACUGGGCGUAAAGAGCUCGUAGGUGGUUUGUCGCGUUGUUCGUGAAAACUCACAGCUUAACUGUGGGCGUGCGGGCGAUACGGGCAGACUAGAGUACUGCAGGGGAGACUGGAAUUCCUGGUGUAGCGGUGGAAUGCGCAGAUAUCAGGAGGAACACCGGUGGCGAAGGCGGGUCUCUGGGCAGUAACUGACGCUGAGGAGCGAAAGCGUGGGUAGCGAACAGGAUUAGAUACCCCGGUAGUCCAA